rnacentral:rRNA from 1 species
UACGAAGGGAGCUAGCGUUGUUCGGAAUCACUGGGCGUAAAGCGCACGUAGGCGGACGUGUCAGUCAGGGGUGAAAUCCCGGAGCUCAACUUCGGAACUGCCUUUGAUACAGCACGUCUUGAGUCCGGAAGAGGUGGGUGGAAUUCCUAGUGUAGAGGUGAAAUUCGUAGAUAUUAGGAAGAACACCGGUGGCGAAGGCGGCCCACUGGUCCGGUACUGACGCUGAGGUGCGAAAGCGUGGGAGCAAACAGG